GGUAGCGUGGCCGAGGGGUCUAAGGCGCUGGAUUUAGGCUCCAGUCUCUUCGGGGGCGUUGAUUCGAAUCCCACCGCUGCCA
rfam:Danio rerio chromosome 4, GRCz11 reference primary assembly.